rnacentral:rRNA from 1 species
CCUACGGGAGGCAGCAGUGAGGAAUAUUGCUCAAUGGGGGAAACCCUGAAGCAGCGACGCCGCGUGAGUGAAGAAGGUUUUCGGUUUGUAAACCUCUGUUCGCAGGGAAGAAAAUGACGGUACCUGACUAGGAAGCUCCGGCUAACUACGUGCCAGCAGCCGCGGUAAUACGUAGGGGGCAAGCGUUCUCCGGAUUUACUGGGGGUAAAGGGUGCGUAGGCGGCAUUGCAAGUCUGGAGUGAAAUCCAAGGGCUUAACCCAGGAACUGCUUUUGAAACUGGGGAGCUUGAGUGCAGGAGAGGUAAGCGGAAUUCCUGGUGUAGCGGUGAAAUGCGUAGAUAUCAGGAGGAACACCAGUGGCGAAGGCGGCCUACUGGACUCUAACUGACGCUGAGGCACGAAAGCGUGGGGAGCAAACAGGAUUAGAUACCCGAGUAGUC